rnacentral:rRNA from 1 species
UGCCAGCUGCCGCGGUAAUACGGAGGGUGCAAGCGUUGUUCGGAAUUAUUGGGCGUAAAGCGCGUGUAGGCGGUUCGUUAAGUCUGAUGUGAAAGCCCGGGGCUCAACCCCGGAAGUGCAUUGGAAACUGGCGAACUUGAGUACGGGAGAGGAAAGUGGAAUUCCGAGUGUAGCGGUAAAAUGCGUAAAUAUAUGGAGGAACACCAGUGGCGAAGGCGGCUUACUGGGUCACAACUGACGCUGAGGCACGAAAGCGUGGGGAGCAAACAGGAUUAGAUA